rnacentral:rRNA from 1 species
CAAUAGCGUAUAUUAAAGUUGUUGCAGUUAAAAAGCUCGUAGUUGAAUUUUUGCUUGCCGCCGAUGUCGGAACUUCCGUACGUUCGGCGGCGUGCAUCCUUGGGUGGAACCUGUGUGGCAUUAGGUUGUCGUGCAGGGGAUGCUCAUCGUUUACUGUGAAAAAAUUAGAGUGUUCAAAGCAGGCUUACGCCGUUGAAUAUAUUAGCAUGGAAUAAUAAGAUAGGACCUUGGUACUAUUUUGUUGGUUUGCGCGCCGAGGUAAUGAUUAACAGGGACAGUUGGGGGUAUUCGUAUUCCAUUGUCAGAGGUGAAAUUCUUGGAUUUCUGGAAGACGAACUACUGCGAAAGCAUUUACCAAGGAUGUUUUCAUUAA